GACUUCUGGUUUAAUGCACCUGGCCCGCGGCCCACAAGGCCUGUGAGUGCCGGCGCGCGUUUACCAUCCUUCCAGCAACGGCUACCCUUAACUGGGCGGCUGGAACUGGAUCUUUUACUUUGAAAAAAUUAGAGUGUUUAAAGCAGGCGUUUGCUCUGAAUACAUUAGCAUGGAAUAAUAAUCUAGGACUUCGGUUCGAUUUUGUUGGUUUCUUUCACUGAAGUAAUGAUUGAUAGGGAUAGUUGGGGGUUCUAGUAUUGGCCGGUCAGAGGUGAAAUUCUUGGAUUCGGUCAAGACUAACUUAUGCGAAAGCAUU
rnacentral:rRNA from 1 species